UACUGUUGGAAAUUUUCUGUUAAAACCUCUCUUCCAUGCACCGUGCAAGCGUUUUGCAUAAACUCUUCAAUGUGUGCUUCUUUGCUACAUGGAUGCUUCCAGGAUGGGCCAAAUUGAAGUUUCACAAGUACUGAGUCACUUAAGACUUUGAAGACAAGUGGCGGAGGGUAUUUAAGGAGUGUUUUCCAGACGCUGUAUGACAUCCCAGCUGGUCGCAUGAGGGGUAUGUGGCUGUUUCCAAAAUUCAACGGUCGUUGGUCUUGCAUUUUGUAGUCAGCUACAUUUGUUGGCAUAGAAAGCGUAAGACACUUUCGAAUCUAUAUCCUACGGUGUGCAUUUUCGUAUUGACCUUGUGCAUGUCAUUAGUUUGCCUUUCUUUGUCCUGCAACUCCCAAUGUUCAGCCGACACCUAGGAAACAACAUUUACCUUCUAACACGUGGAUUGUAAUGAAAGUGGACACAAUUAAAAUAAAGAGAACUGUUUGAUGUUUAUCUUAUCAGACCCACGUUUCUGUUUGUGAAACCUCUGCGAAAUUGCUUCUGUUUUGCUUGCCUUUUCACAAUUUCCGUCCUAAUUAUUUGAUUACCUUCUUCUGUAUAAUGAUUGGACUGCUGGUGGCUUCCCACGUGUGUGGCUUAAGCUGGGAGCAAAUACUUUUCUUAUGGACCAGGACUUGAAUGGGUAUCAACUCCAUCUUACGAACCAAGUUUCCUGAUGAAAGGGAUUGGCAUGUCAGUUUUCAGUGAUUAUUGCAGCAGACGCCUUUUCAUUUGUUGUACCAAUUCCGUUCCUUUUUUUUUAAAUAAAUAUU